GCUGGGCGCGUUGGCGCACGCCUGUAAUCCCAGAGGCUCAGGAGGCUGAGACAGGAGGAUUGUGAGUUCAAAGAAGUCUCAGCAAAAGCAAGAUACUAAGCAACUCAGUGAGACCCUGUCUCUA
rnacentral:sRNA from 1 species